rnacentral:rRNA from 1 species
GAUGAACGCUGGCGGUAUGCUUAACACAUGCAAGUCGAACGGAAUCUUAGGAUUUAGUGGCGGACGGGUGAGUAACGCGUGAGAAUUUGGCUUCAGGUCGGGGAUAACAGUUGGAAACGACUGAUAAUACCGGAUGUGCCGGGAGGUGAAAGAUUUAUCGCCUGAAGAUAAGCUCGCGUCUGAUUAGCUAGUUGGUAGUGUAAGGGACUACCAAGGCGACGAUCAGUAGCUGGUCUGAGAGGAUGAUCAGCCACACUGGGACUGAGACACGGCCCAGACUCCUACGGGAGGCAGCAGUGGGGAAUUUUCCGCAAUGGGCGAAAGCCUGACGGAGCAAUACCGCGUGAGGGAGGAAGGCUCUUGGGUCGUAAACCUCUUUUCUCGAGGAAGAAGAAAGUGACGGUACUUGAGGAAUAAGCAUCGGCUAACUCCGUGCCAGCCGCCGCAGUAAUAC